rnacentral:rRNA from 1 species
AUUGAACGCUGGCGGCAGGCCUAACACAUGCAAGUCGAGCGGAGCGGCGGACGGGUGAGUAAUGCCUAGGAAUCUGCCUGGUAGUGGGGGCUAACGUCCGGACACGGGCGCUAAUACCGCAUCCUAUCAGAUGAGCCUAGGUCGGAUUAGCUAGGUUGUGGGGUAAAGGUCUACAACGGCGACGAUCCGUAACUGGUUUGCGAGGAUGAUCAGUCAAACUGGAACUGAGACACGGUCCAGACGCCGACGGGAGGCAGCAGUGGGGAAUAUGGGACAAUGGGCGAAAGCCUGAUCCAGCCAUGCCGAGUGUGUGAGGAAGGUCUUCGGAUUGUAAAGCACUUUAAGUUGGGAAGCGUUACCAACAGAAUAAGCACCGGCUAACUUCGUGCCAGCAGCCGCGGUAAUUC